AAAGUGUUGAUUAGAAGCAAUCACACACGGCCACUUCAUCAAUCCGUCACGAAAUUACUCUCACCACCCACUCCACCGCCGCCAUUUCACAUUCUACACAAAUCUCCGCCGCAUCUCUCAUAUCCCCGGCGAACCCCCUUUCUCGAUUUCACUUUUCUCCCAAUUCAAUCCAACAAUGCAAGCUGACAAAAACGACAGCGUCGCUGUUCAAGAAGAACCUUCUUCCUCUUCGAAUUCCCACACUGCCAUUGACCCUCUCGCAAAAAGCUCUGAAGUUUUGGCAAAAGGCUUGUCGUCGAUGCUGUCCACUGUCAUCAAGGAAUUCGAUGUCAAAGCUCAGCAAACUCUCAACAGCCAGGACCAACUCUCUUCCGCCAUUGAUCGUCUCACUCGAGGUUACGUUUCGUUCAAUCUUUUAUAUGUUCAAAUUUCAACAUUACCAAUUAUGUUAUCCAUUAAUUGUGUAAAACUAAAACCUCAUUUUCAUCAAUUUAGUCUUGAGAAUAUAAAACCGUUGAUUUGGUCCAUGACUUUGCAUACUUUCCGUCAAUUUAUACCUUUUUCGGAUUUGUAUGAUUUUUGUUGUUGCAAGAGUUCGUAAUCUCAGGAAUCAAAUUUACCGGUGAAUUCGAUCUUAGGGACCAAAUUGAUGUUUAUUAAUGUCUAAAUAUUAACUGCAUUAUUUAUUUUAUCAUUUGGUGUGUUAAGAGAUUCCACAGGGCAGGUGUUCCCUAACUGUAGGACCUGAACCGGCGAGUUUCUAGGGCCCAAAUUCCGCUUGUUAGAGUUCCACAAGGGCCUGUCUGCGAGUUAAUUUUAAAAGGUGAGGGAAGGAAAAGGGAAGACUUGAGAGUGCUCUCCAAAGUCUUUCAUUUACCUCUAUUGCAUUCAAAAAACUAACUCACAAAUAUACCCUAAGUGCUUUAGAAUAUGGUGUAGAACCUAAUCCCUGCUCGGAGUCUCCGCAUGAUUAUACAGUCUCUCUAUGUGUAACUUAGCAGGAAUAACCUCAGAUGGGUAGUUAUCUAUAAUGACUAAAUGGCAGUUCAUAAGCUAUGGAUCUAUCUUAAUCUAUUAAUCUGGUUAUAUUAUGGAUCAUGCAUUUAGGAGGGAUCUCUUAGGUUUUUAAAUUAAGUGACUCGGGUUCUCCUUAUUGGGCAUUAAUGGCAGGCAGGCUUGACACGGAGAGUAACAUCAACAAUUUUUUUAUAAAUUCGAUUUAUAUAAUAUAGACCUACUAUUAUAAUGUUUGGUUUCUAAGGUGGUCUUUGGUAUGCUGGAACCUAUUGAAAUAGAAAGUAGCAUAACAACGAUAGAGUGGGGAUGUUCUGUUAUGUUCUCUUUGGUUCCAUCACUUUUUAUGUUACCAAAAAAUCCUACAUUUAACCCAUUGGUCCAUCAUGUUCUAUUUAUAAAUGCACCAAACAUAGAGUAGAGUCCAUUUAGGAAGCACAAAUAGUGAUGCACGGAUAUGACACAAUACAAAUACAUUGAUAUGGAUUGGAUGAGGAAGAAAGAAGAAUGCGUAAUUCUUGAAGAUGCAUAGUCUUACUGUACACAAUGUUUUGGUUGGGUGUGACACAAUGUUUGAUUUAUAUGAUGAAUUUCUUAGCAGGAACGUGAAGUUCGGAAGAAAGUAGUUGUACUAUUGGGAAAGUAACAGUUCUAGUCUUCACUUUCUUAUAAUACUUGUAACUUUUUAAACGUUAUUUCAAGGUUAAAGAAGUCAAGAUGCAUCUGCUAUUGGCUUGCUUUUCCCUCUUCUUGAUUUUUUCAUUUAAUAAUAUAUAACCUUAAAGAAAAAGGUGGAAAUCCUGGAGAUAGUCUCUAUAUUUGUGAGGAUAAGACUGCAUACAUCUUCCAUUCUCAGAUCCCACUAAGUGGAAAUCUCGUACACUAGGCUGCCAUUUUUAAAGAAAAGGUGGAAAUUAUUAUGACUUACUCAACUUGGAAUAAGGUUCUCUUUUGUGGUUCUCCUCUCCCAAGUUAAAUUAUUGGAUGCUUGGAGCUAGUGCCUGCAAAUGAUGAUUCUGGUGUUGAUUAGGUAUGAUUGGUCUGGUUUAACCAUCAUAAAAAAUAUUCAUACAUUGAAAUUAGGAGGUUAUGGUAGCAAGUUAUGUGGUUAUGGUAGCAAGUUAUGUGGUUAUGGGCAAGUCCUAUGAGGGAUCAUUUAAAAGCUUCCUGGCUUGGGAGUAUUUACUAAGAAGUGUGAAUGUUAAGUUGAAGUAACACCUAGGACUUGACAUAUUUAUUUUUAAAGAAGACAUUUCAUUCCGUCUUAUUAGGUUAAGUAAUUUAUGUAUUAGGAACUGGAUCAAAAGGGAAGAAACUGUAGAAGAAAAGAAAGAAAGUUGCUUUAUUGAUGAAAUCUUAGGGAAAUGGAUACCCUAGUUGAGAGAGAAUGAAUACAACCAAUGCCUAACCCUUCGGGAAUGUUUGAGAGGCAUUGGUGUCUCCCAAUAACUUUACCACUUUCUAACCGAAUAUCCCUCUUCCCUCUCAUCUCUACUUAUAUCUUCUAACAACUAACACAGUUUCUCAGCCUAACUAACUAACUACCGACCUGGGUCAGAUCCUGGCCCAUUCCUCCUAUAUACAUUUCUAAUAAGAGGUCUAACAGCCUAACAUUAUGCUGGAAAUUAUAAGGUCUAGUACUAUAGUAUAGCAAGUUUUAUGAGAGACGCAUUUCUUAGUCUCCUGUAUACCUAAGAAUAUGGAUGUUAAUUAAUAUAUUUUGAAAUUACAAAAACAACUUUGCUACUAAUAUGUGUCUCUACUGCUCCUGCAUCACAUGAAGUGUGAAUGCUACACAGGAAUACUAAGUUUAUUGGCAUAGAAUGCCAAAUAGAUAGUUUUAUGAGAGAUGCAUCUAUUAAUCUUCAGGCUUAUCAGUAAUAACCUAAAUUUGGGUUGUUUUUUUAAUUAAAAUAUUCUUUGGUUAUAGGUCUGAAGACUACAUUUAAGUCUUUUUGAGUAGCUUCACCAAUAAUUUAUCUUAGUCUCCUUUUACCUCCAGGUUAUCACCCACUUCGUCUUAUCUACUCUUUAGAUUGAGGCUUUUAAUGCUCUUCUGUCAUGGUUAGACUAUCUAAGUUAAGAUUUUAUCUUCUUUUCCGUAUUGUCUCUAUUGUAGCCAUUCCUAAUCCUAUAUUGUCUUGUAUGUUUUCUCAUCUAACACAAUAUCCCAUCAUCUUUACAAUGCCGAGCUUGUGCUCAUAUUGCAGCCCUUCUUAAUCCUAUUUUGUUUUUAUUGUCUCUUAUGACUACCCAUCCAACACAAUAUCCCAUCUCUACAACAUGGAGCUUAUGCUCCUAUUGUUUCUUACUGCCUAGCAUUCAGUACCAUACAGGAUCAUGGGUCUUAUGGUUGUAGCAAAUUGCUUUAUAAGGUUAAGAGGAGAUCACAAAUAACACUUGAUGCACUUCAUUUCUUUCACCAUCUUGAAUCCUAUUGUUCCAUGAUUUCUCCAUCACUUUGGCAUUUAUGUUCAGUUAAAAAGGUAUUCAAAAUUAAAUCUAGUUAGACCUACUUAUUAAUUAGCCAUCCAACUCAUCGAUAUAAAUUUAAAUGGUGUAAAAUUUAAAAUUGCUUCCCUUACCAAACAAAAUAUAGUUAUUCGGUUUAACAUCAAUAUUUAUUUCUACUUAUGAAGCACACACACAUGACAUGAUAUCGAUACAAUGACACAAGUGUCGGUAUCAGGCAUGUGCCCAGCAUAGGCAUAACACCAAUAUGUUGUGUCCGGCAGUGUUUUGUAUCUUUCCACUAAUUCACAGAUGCUUCCAGUAAGUCAUUGUAGCUCUCAGAAUUGUUAAGAUUAAAAACUUUAUUAAGCAGAUAAAAUAUAUGUAUUAUUACAUCAAUAGAAUAAAAAUCAAGAUUCGAUAUGGCCCAAUGACCUGAGUUAGUUAUUGGGUUGGACUUGCAAACUGUUGGAAAAGCAAACACAAUAACUCUCUGACCAAAUUAACCUCCAAGCUUCAAAAUCCUCUUUGGAAAUCCCUUGCACUUGAAACUCCAAGCUGCUAACAAAGUGGAUGGGUAUUCGCAGUCCUUUAUGUACAAAAUUAACUUACAAUUCAUUAGGUGCUUGUGCUGUUGUUCUCAAGUAAAAAUGUUUAACAGCUCAGUAAAGAAAACAUAAAUGUGUAAAACGACAAUACUGGGUUUUAUGUCUUUAUUGGAAAAAACAGUACAAACACCCAAAAUGUUCCUAAGUUCUGUCAUUUUAUUUUACUUAUUUAGUUGUUGCGAAGGAAAAAAUGAUUAUGACGAAAGAAAAUGAGAAAAAAAAUGAUUUGUAUGCCUUAUACAAUUUUGAAACCCAGCAAAAGACUCAGACGACCCAUAACUUAAAUUCACUGCCUUGCUCUAGCCACAUUUCGGAAUGAUGGAUCAGCAUGAUCUACUGUCCAUCAAAUACAUUAAUUUGAUUUAGGAAUUCCAGACCAUUAAAAACCAGUACACUAAUUGAUGGAAUGGAUUGAAUAUGUCUAGUUAGGCUGGAUGGAUAACAAGGCCACAGAUCAUUUGGCCAGCCCUAGGUUUUUUUAUAUGCAAAGUUUUUUGACGGGAAGGAGGGAGAGGAUAAAUUGUGCAGUUGCCAGGGUUUGAACUGAGGUGCUCACACUUUAUGUCCCUCGGCUCUACCAAUUGAGCUGAAUCUAGAGGACUUUGGUCAGCCCUAGGUGACAUGCUGUAAUUUCAUUUUAGCUAUGCUUAACAUUAUUGCCUCUGCUAAAGCUUCUUCUAUUGAUCUAGGAUGACAUAUAUCUUUUAUUUUCACAUAACUUGAUCAAUUACUUAACAUAUAUCUUUUAUUUUCACAGAACUUGAUCAAUUACUUCACAUAUAUCUUAUAUUUUCACAGAACUUGAUCAUUUACUUGAAGCUUGUUCUGUUUAUCUUGGAUACCAUUAUCGCUGACCUGAAAUAUAUCUUUUAUUUUCGUAGAACUUGAUCAAUUACUUGAAGAUGCACCUUUGCCAUUCAUAAUGCAGCAUUCAGCCAAGAUUUCGAGUGUUAGGAAAAGAGUUUCAUCGCUGAAUUCACUUCUAAAAUCCAUACAAGGGCGGGUUGAUAAUAUAGACCGCAUGCUGUCAAUUGGCACCACUCAUGGUAUAUACAAGUCUCCAGGGGCCUAGUUUUAGUUAUUUUCUAAUAACUAUUAAAUAUUACACUAUUAAUAUUAGGAAAAAAUAUUUCCCCCGUAUAUAUGCUCUCUCCAGUCAGUAUACAAUUUUAAAGUGGUCAACUCUGACUAGUUUUGUUACUGUACUAUUCCUAAAAGGUUCUAGAUUAUGUGACUAGUCAUUCUUACAUGUUUCAACAUGGCAAAAUCUAAAUUUAUGGCACAUGAGUCGAUGGUUUAAGUGGACCUAUUGUUACUCCUUUUUCACCGCGGGUAAAGCUUCUAUGGUCAAACGAUUUCAAAUUGUUCUUAUAUCAUAUAUUUUUUACUUAUUAUUAUUUGUACAUUACCUUAUUUUUAGUUUUAGUAGUUUAG
rnacentral:lncRNA from 1 species